rnacentral:rRNA from 1 species
GACGAACGCUGGCGGCGUGCUUAACACAUGCAAGUCGAACGAUGAAGCGGUGCUUGCACCGUGGAUUAGUGGCGAACGGGUGAGUAAUACGUGAGUGACCUACCUUUGACUCUGGGAUAAGCCUGGGAAACUGGGUCUAAUACCGGAUACGACCAAUCUCUGCAUGGGGUGUUGGUGGAAAGCGUUAUGGAGUGGUUUUAGAUGGGCUCACGGCCUAUCAGCUUGUUGGUGAGGUAAUGGCUUACCAAGGCGACGACGGGUAGCCGGCCUGAGAGGGUGACCGGCCACACUGGGACUGAGACACGGCCCAGACUCCUACGGGAGGCAGCAGUGGGAAAUAUUGCACAAUGGGCGCAAGCCUGAUGCAGCGACGCCGCGUGAGGGAUGACGGCCUUCGGGUUGUAAACCUCUGUUAGCAUCGAAGAAGCGAAAGUGACGGUAGGUGCAGAGAAAGCGCCGGCUAACUACGUG